rnacentral:tRNA from 1 species
AUGAAAUUAUUUUAAGUCUUCUAAACUUAAUAAGAGUUUUACUCUUUCAUU